rnacentral:lncRNA from 1 species
UUGCUUCUUUUGGAGCCAUGAUGAAGGGAGUUCUGGUUUCAGCUUCAGCUGGAAAUCGAGUUCCGCAUAUUGGAUGUUUAAACAAUGGAUCUCCAUGGAUCUUGUGUGUGGCAUCAGGACACACUGACCCGACAUUUGCAGGAACUUUGACAAUAGGCAAUGGCAUAAAAAGUAGGGGGUGGAGCUUGUUUCCUGCAAGAGUCAUUGUUAUGGAUUCAGCAGAUUUACAACAGCACUCUAUUCAGUUGAUCCGUAUUACCCAUCAUUCAUUGCAUUGUACAGCAGAGAGGGCAACUUCACCUUGUUGGAGCAGAAAUUCAAGAGGAUAGUCACAAAUGUUGGUCAAGGGGCAGCUAAGAUACUUAUAAAGCUAAGAUAACAGUUCCCAAGAACAAUACAGUUUCAGUAUCACUUCAAAUUUUGGUGUUCAAGAACAAAAAAUGAGAAGCAAAGUUAUAUGUUGACAAUUCGUUAUAUAGGUCCCAAUAAUUACGAUGGGUCUAUUACUUGGAUUGAAC